rnacentral:rRNA from 1 species
CAAUAGCGUAUACUAAAGUUGUUGCGAUUAAAAAGCUCGUAGUUGGAUCUCAGGCAUGGGCGCACGGUCCGCCUCGCGGCGGUCACUGUGUGUUUUGUUUCCCAUCCUACGCUUCCCGGUUAUCAGCCCAUGGUGCUCUUCACUGAGCGUUUUGGGUGGCCGGAACGUUUACUUUGAAGAAAUUAGAGUGUUCAAAGCAGGCACGUCGCCUGAAUAAUGGUGCAUGGAAUAAUGGAAUAGGACCUCGGUUCUAUUUUGCUGGUUUUCGGAACACGAGGUAAUGAUUAAGAGGGACAGACGGGGGCAUCCGUAUUGCGGUGUUAGAGGUGAAAUUCUUGGAUCAUCGAAAGACGAACAACUGCGAAAGCAUUUGCCAAGCAUGUUUUCAUUAG